UACAGAGGGGGCAAGCGUUGUUCGGAAUUACUGGGCGUAAAGGGCGCGUAGGCGGCCCGCUAAGUCGGACGUGAAAUCCCUCGGCUCAACCGGGGAACUGCGUCCGAUACUGGUGGGCUCGAAUCCGGGAGAGGGAUGUGGAAUUCCAGGUGUAGCGGUGAAAUGCGUAGAUAUCUGGAGGAACACCGGUGGCGAAGGCGGCAUCCUGGACCGGUAUUGACGCUGAUGCGCGAAAGCCAGGGGAGCAAACGGG
rnacentral:rRNA from 1 species